rnacentral:tRNA from 1 species
AUUUAUAUAAUAUAAAAAUUAUAUUUGACUUCCAAUCAAAAUAUCUAACUCAGUUAGUAUAAAUA